rnacentral:rRNA from 1 species
UGAGUUUGAUUCUGGCUCAGAGUGAACGCUGGCGGCGUGCUUAACACAUGCAAGUCGAACGAGAAACGGUCUAGCUUGCUAGAUGCAGUCUAAGUGGCGCACGGGUGAGUAAUAUAUAGGUAAUAUGCCUCUUACUAAGGGAUAACAGAUGGAAACGUCUGCUAAUACCUUAUAUGCCUUUAGGACUAAAGUYCGCAAGGGAAAGAUUUAUYKGUAAGAGAUUAGCCUGUACAGUAUCAGUUAGUUGGUGAGGUAAUKGCUCACCAAGACUAUGACACUUAACUKGKUUKAGAGGAUGAUYAGUCACACUGGAACUGAGACACGGUYCAGACUYCUACGGGAGGCAGCAGUKGGGAAUAUUGCACAAUKGACGGAAGUCUKAUKCAGCAACGCYGCGUUGAGGAUGACACAUUUYBGUKUGUAAACY